AGUGAACGCUGGCGGUAGGCCUAACACAUGCAAGUCGAACGGCAGCACAGUAAGAGCUUGCUCUUACGGGUGGCGAGUGGCGGACGGGUGAGGAAUACAUCGGAAUCUACUUUUUCGUGGGGGAUAACGUAGGGAAACUUACGCUAAUACCGCAUACGACCUACGGGUGAAAGCAGGGGAUCUUCGGACCUUGCGCGAUUGAAUGCGCCGAUGUCGGAUUAGCUAGUUGGCGGGUUAAAGGCCCACCAAGGCGACGAUCCGUAGCUGGUGUGAGAGGAGGAUCAGCCACACUGGAACUGAGCCACGGUCCAGGCUCCUACGGGACGGAGCAGUGGGGAAUAUGGGACAACGGGCGCAAGCCUGACCCAGCCGUACCGCGUGGGUGAAGAAGGCCUUCGGGGUGUAAAGCCCUUUUUUUGGUAAAGAACAGCAGCAGGUUAAGACCCCGCUGUUCUGACGGUACCCAAAGAAUAAGCACCGGCUAACUUCGUG
rnacentral:rRNA from 1 species